GUGCUUUCAAGGCUGAGUAUGUAUUGUUUUCAUUGUUUUACUGUCUAAAUUUUAGUUAGUCAAUGAAAUUUGAAUGGAGCAGACAUGAACUGAUGUUAUAGCAUCUACUUUUUCUGCAAUUCCUUGAUGUGAUGAUCUCUAGUGUGCUUCAGUUUCUGGCUCAUUUAUUCUUUUUCCCUCAUUAGAGAAAAAGUGAUGCGGUCAAGGAUAAUUAGAUUUGGAGAUUAUUUUCAUUUAGUUCUUAAUUAUGAAUUUCAGAUUUUUCUUGUUAAUUUUCUAUUUAGCAAGUUUUAGUACUAUUUAUGUGUUCCCUUCGUGUCUUAGUUGUGAUGCAAAAGAGA
rnacentral:misc_RNA from 1 species